rnacentral:rRNA from 1 species
AGAGUUUGAUCCUGGCUCAGGACGAACGCUGGCGGCGUGCUUAACACAUGCAAGUUGAACGGUCCGGCAUGGAAGCUUGCUGAAGUGUCGGGUAGUAGCGGACGGGUGAGUAAUGCAUGAGAAGCUGCCAUUGGGAGGGGGACAACAGUUGGAAACGGCUGCUAAUACCCCAUAUGCCGGAAGGUGAAACGGAGUGAUCCGCCCGAUGAGGUGCUCAUGUCCUAUCAGCUAGUUGGUGAGGUAACGGCUCACCAAGGCGACGACGGGUAGCCGGCCUGAGAGGGUGACCGGCCACACUGGAACUGAGAUACGGUCCAGACUCCUACGGGAGGCAGCAGUGGGGAAUAUUGGGCAAUGGGGGCAACCCUGACCCAGCGACGCCGCGUGAGGGAAGACGGCCUUCGGGUUGUAAACCUCUUUUGUACGGGAAGAAGGACGUGACGGUACCGUGCGAAUAAGUCCCGGCUAACUACGUGCCAGCAGCCGCGGUAAUACGUAGGGGACGAGCGUUGUCCGGAAUUACUGGGCGUAAAGGGCGCGCAGGCUGUAGAUCAAGUCAGCUGUGAAAUGUCUGGGCUUAACCCGGGCAUGCGGUUGAAACUGAUGUACUGGAGUGCUGUAGAGGCAAGUGGAAUUCCCAGUGUAGCGGCGAAAUGCGUAGAUAUUGGGAAGAACACCGGUGGCGAAGGCGACUUGCUAGGCAGCAACUGACGCUGAGGCGCGAAAGCCAGGGGAGCAAACAGGAUUAGAUACCCCGGUAGUCCUGGCCGUAAACGAUGAAUGCUAGGUGUGUGUGUAGAGAUACAUGCGUGCCGGAGUUAACGCGAUAAGCAUUCCGCCUGGGGAGUACGGUCGCAAGAUUGAAACUCAAAGGAAUUGACGG